GCUCGCUUCAGUGGCUCAUACUAAAAUUGGAAUGAUACAAAGAGGAGUAGCAUGGUCCCUGUGCAAGGAUGACUCGCAAAUUUGUGAGGCAUUCCAUAUUUUU